GGGUUGUGAGGUUAAGCGACUAAGCGUACACGGUGGAUGCCCUGGCAGUCAGAGGCGAUGAAGGGCGUGCUAAUCUGCGAUAAGCGCCGGUAAGGUGAUAUGAACCGUUAUAACCGGCGAUACCCGAAUGGGGAAACCCAGUGUGAUUCGUCACACUAUCAUUAACUGAAUCCAUAGGUUAAUGAGGCGAACCGGGGGAACUGAAACAUCUAAGUACCCCGAGGAAAAGAAAUCAACCGAGAUUCCCCCAGUAGCGGCGAGCGAACGGGGAGGAGCCCAGAGCCUGAAUCAGCAUGUGUGUUAGUGGAAGCGUCUGGAAAGGUGCGCGAUACAGGGUGACAGCCCCGUACACAAAAGCGCAUGUGCUGUGAGCUCGAUGAGUAGGGCGGGACACGUGGUAUCCUGUCUGAAUAUGGGGGGACCAUCCUCCAAGGCUAAAUACUCCUGACUGACCGAUAGUGAACCAGUACCGUGAGGGAAAGGCGAAAAGAACCCCGGCGAGGGGAGUGAAAAAGAACCUGAAACCGUGUACGUACAAGCAGUGGGAGCACAGGUUUACCUGUGUGACUGCGUACCUUUUGUAUAAUGGGUCAGCGACUUAUAUUCUGUAGCAAGGUUAACCGUAUAGGGGAGCCGUAGGGAAACCGAGUCUUAACCGGGCGUUAAGUUGCAGGGUAUAGACCCGAAACCCGGUGAUCUAGCCAUGGGCAGGUUGAAGGUUGGGUAACACUAACUGGAGGACCGAACCGACUAAUGUUGAAAAAUUAGCGGAUGACCUGUGGCUGGGGGUGAAAGGCCAAUCAAACCGGGAGAUAGCUGGUUCUCCCCGAAAGCUAUUUAGGUAGCGCCUCGUGAAUUCAUCUCCGGGGGUAGAGCACUGUUUCGGCUAGGGGGCCAUCCCGGCUUACCAACCCGAUGCAAACUGCGAAUACCGGAGAAUGUUAUCACGGGAGACACACGGCGGGUGCUAACGUCCGUCGUGAAGAGGGAAACAACCCAGACCGCCAGCUAAGGUCCCAAAGUCAUGGUUAAGUGGGAAACGAUGUGGGAAGGCCCAGACAGCCAGGAUGUUGGCUUAGAAGCAGCCAUCAUUUAAAGAAAGCGUAAUAGCUCACUGGUCGAGUCGGCCUGCGCGGAAGAUGUAACGGGGCUAAACCAUGCACCGAAGCUGCGGCAGCGAACGUAUCACCCAAGACAACUUUACGGAGUUGACGAUUGACGGAGCGAAGCGACGUCAAAGCGUUCAUUAAAGUCGAGUUGGCUUAGGGAUACGUUCGUUGGGUAGGGGAGCGUUCUGUAAGCCUGUGAAGGUGUGUCGUGAGGCAUGCUGGAGGUAUCAGAAGUGCGAAUGCUGACAUAAGUAACGAUAAAGCGGGUGAAAAGCCCGCUCGCCGGAAGACCAAGGGUUCCUGUCCAACGUUAAUCGGGGCAGGGUGAGUCGACCCCUAAGGCGAGGCCGAAAGGCGUAGUCGAUGGGAAACGGGUUAAUAUUCCCGUACUUGGUGUUACUGCGAAGGGGGGACGGAGAAGGCUAUGUUGGCCGGGCGACGGUUGUCCCGGUUUAAGCGUGUAGGUGUGUGUUCCAGGUAAAUCCGGUUCACUUUAACACUGAGGCGUGACGACGAGGCACUACGGUGCUGAAGCAACAAAUGCCCUGCUUCCAGGAAAAGCCUCUAAGCAUCAGGUAACACGAAAUCGUACCCCAAACCGACACAGGUGGUCAGGUAGAGAAUACCAAGGCGCUUGAGAGAACUCGGGUGAAGGAACUAGGCAAAAUGGUGCCGUAACUUCGGGAGAAGGCACGCUGACACGUAGGUGAAGUGAUUUACUCAUGGAGCUGAAGUCAGUCGAAGAUACCAGCUGGCUGCAACUGUUUAUUAAAAACACAGCACUGUGCAAACACGAAAGUGGACGUAUACGGUGUGACGCCUGCCCGGUGCCGGAAGGUUAAUUGAUGGGGUCAGCGUAAGCGAAGCUCCUGAUCGAAGCCCCGGUAAACGGCGGCCGUAACUAUAACGGUCCUAAGGUAGCGAAAUUCCUUGUCGGGUAAGUUCCGACCUGCACGAAUGGCGUAAUGAUGGCCAGGCUGUCUCCACCCGAGACUCAGUGAAAUUGAACUCGCUGUGAAGAUGCAGUGUACCCGCGGCAAGACGGAAAGACCCCGUGAACCUUUACUAUAGCUUGACACUGAACAUUGAGCCUUGAUGUGUAGGAUAGGUGGGAGGCUUUGAAGUGUGGACGCCAGUCUGCAUGGAGCCGACCUUGAAAUACCACCCUUUAAUGUUUGAUGUUCUAACGUGGACCCGUAAUCCGGGUUGCGGACAGUGUCUGGUGGGUAGUUUGACUGGGGCGGUCUCCUCCUAAAGAGUAACGGAGGAGCACGAAGGUUGGCUAAUCCUGGUCGGACAUCAGGAGGUUAGUGCAAUGGCAUAAGCCAGCUUGACUGCGAGCGUGACGGCGCGAGCAGGUGCGAAAGCAGGUCAUAGUGAUCCGGUGGUUCUGAAUGGAAGGGCCAUCGCUCAACGGAUAAAAGGUACUCCGGGGAUAACAGGCUGAUACCGCCCAAGAGUUCAUAUCGACGGCGGUGUUUGGCACCUCGAUGUCGGCUCAUCACAUCCUGGGGCUGAAGUAGGUCCCAAGGGUAUGGCUGUUCGCCAUUUAAAGUGGUACGCGAGCUGGGUUUAGAACGUCGUGAGACAGUUCGGUCCCUAUCUGCCGUGGGCGCUGGAGAACUGAGGGGGGCUGCUCCUAGUACGAGAGGACCGGAGUGGACGCAUCACUGGUGUUCGGGUUGUCAUGCCAAUGGCACUGCCCGGUAGCUAAAUGCGGAAGAGAUAAGUGCUGAAAGCAUCUAAGCACGAAACUUGCCCCGAGAUGAGUUCUCCCUGAGACUUAGAGUCUCCUGAAGGAACGUUGAAGACGACGACGUUGAUAGGCCGGGUGUGUAAGCGCAGCGAUGCGUUGAGCUAACCGGUACUAAUGAACCGUGAGGCUUAACCUUACAACGCCGAAG
rnacentral:rRNA from 14 species